GCAGCAGUGGCUCAGGGGUUAGGGCCGUGGGCUGUUUUUCCAGAGAACCUGAGUUCAAAUCCCAGCAACUGUA
rnacentral:tRNA from 1 species